rnacentral:lncRNA from 1 species
UUUUCAGCAAAUAUCAAAUUGAGAUUGAUGAACAAUUCAAAUUUCAAAAAGUCAGAAUAUUAAAAAUUGCUUGAAAUAUUAAGAUCAUGUGGUUAGAUGUUGUUCUUAUGCAUUCUAUGAACCAGUCCUAUAAUCCACUCUUUAAAAAAAAAUUCUUUUUUCAAAUAAGUUGGGUGAAGAUGUUUGCUGCAUUUCAAUCAUGCAACAGCUAGCUCCUAAAAAGUGGUGAGUAAUUAAUAUUGAUUUGGAACUUCUGAGAAAGUUGGUUUUUACUUAAGCAUCAGAAACAAUUUUGUAAGAUUUUGUAACUCAUGAUACUGGGUUGGAAAGAAUAAAACACUUUGAACUAAGUCAAGGAAAAGUACAAGUUAGCAUCUUACUUCAUCACAGGAAAUACUGAUAACCAAGCUAUGGGAAGAGCAGGGGACUGAUGGAGUCUUGAGGAGCUUGGUUUGAAAGCAACAAGGACUUUUUCUGAUGUUUUCCACUCUUGUGCCUGCAAAAUGUUGGCCUUCUGAUUUUUUACUGCAAACUGGCAUCCUCCUUUUAGGGAGGAUGUAGGGAACACAGCUGCCUGCCGCCCCCAGCUUCAUAUCUUCCAGUCCUGUUACCACGCACAUUCCACGCUCUUUUCACAGCUUGGUUGUUCAAUACUUGUGUGACUUAUUAUGAUGCUAACUCCUCCUUUUCCUUGACAUAGUUCGAAUUGUGUUUUGUUCUUUCCAACUGAGCAUCAUGAAUUACAAAAUCUCAGUUGGACAUUGUUUAUGAUGCUUAAGUAAAAAUUAAUUUUCUCAGAAGUUCUAAAAAAGAAAAAAAAAUCACUUUGUGGUUUUAGCUCCUAUUCAAGAUGAUCUGAGAACAGAACUAGAGUUGGGUCAUAUAUCCAUCCCUUGACCAGUCUUUUGUGAUCAAGAAGAAAGAGUAGUAAAUGAAUAUAGGUAUAAUUAUCCUAAGAGAAGAGGGAAGAGAAAGGUUACUGCUGUUCCCAGUGUAAGAAAGCUUAAUUGGGGGGCUGGGGUUGUGGCUCAGUGGUAGUGGUAGAAUGCUCGCCUAACUUGUGCAGGGCCCUGGGUUCCAUCCUCAGCACCACGUACAACAAAUAAAAUGAAAGUAUUGUGUCCAAUUAUAACUUAAAAAAAAAAGAAAGAAAGCUUAACUGGGAACAAAACAAUAGGUGUCCCUUGCAUAAGCAACAAAAUUUUAAUAUAAGUAUUUCUUAGUAAGUUUGAAAUAUACUAAAAAAUUACUUAUUUAUCUGAAAUUCAAAUUUAAUGUGGUGCCUUGUAUAUAUAUAUAUAUAUAUAUAUAUAUGUGUGUGUGUGUGUGUGUGUGUGUGUGUGUAUGUGUAUGUGUGUACUAAACCCUG